rnacentral:rRNA from 1 species
UGCUUGUCUCAAAGAUUAAGCCAUGCAUGUCUAAGCAGAGCCCUUGAAUGGUAAAGCCGCGAAUGGCUCAUUACAACAGCCACAGUUUAUUGGGUCUCCAUUUACUUGGAUAACUGAGCUAAUUGUUGAGCUAAUACACGCACCAAAGCUUCGACCUCACGGGAGGAGCGCAUUUAUUAGAACAAAACCAAUCGGACUUCGGUCCGUCCAUUGGUGAAUCUAAAUAACUUAGCCGAUCGCAUGGUCUCGCACCGGCGACUCACCUUUCAAAUGUCUGCCUUAUCACCUUUCGAUGGUAGUUUAUACGCCAACGAUGGGUUUUACGGGUAACGGAGAAUAAGGGUUCGACUCCGGAGAGGGAGCCUGAGAAACGGCUACCACAUCCRAGGAAGGCAGCAGGCA